rnacentral:piRNA from 1 species
UUGGGUAUUACAGUGAUGUUUAUCACCAUAG